rnacentral:rRNA from 1 species
ACCCGCUGAACUUAAGCAUAUCAAUAAGCGGAGGAAAAGAAACUAACAAGGAUUCCCCUAGUAACGGCGAGUGAAGAGGGAAAAGCUCAAAUUUUGAAUCUGGUGUCUUUGACUCCCGAGUUGUAAUCUAGAGAAGUGUUUUCCGUGUCGGACCGUGUACAAGUUCCCUGGAACGGGGCGUCAUAGAGGGUGAGAAUCCC